AAAAAGCCCGCUUCUGUGCCGGCGCUUUUGCGUCGGUACAAGCAGGCUUCAUAUGCGGGGAAAAGCUGGAGCGGAGGCGGAUGGUUGCGGCUUGUCCACCAUUCGCUUUAGCUGUUUUGGGUUGCCCCGCGUCCGCAAGCUGAGAUCAAAUCGACGCAAGCUGCCAUGCUAACACGCUCGCGGCGCGGCGUGC
rnacentral:sRNA from 1 species